rnacentral:rRNA from 1 species
UACAUGAGUGACUAGCGUUAUCCGUAAUAAUUGGGCGUAAAGGAUGUGUAGAUGGUAAAAGAAGUUGUAAUUGACUAAAAUGAUUAAUCAGGUGAGUUACAAUACCUUUUUACUAGAGUUUUAAUUAGGUAUAUAAUAUUUGUAAACUAGUGAUAAAAUACAGUGAGUUUAUAAUUAUUCUCAAAAGUGAAAACAAUUUACUUUUUAAAACUGACAUUGAUACAUUAAAGUAUAGUUAUCAAAUAGG